UUUUUUCUUUUUCGUCGGCAGUUAACUGCAGUCGGUUUCUUACUUCGGUAGUUAACCGUUGCAGGGGCAU
rfam:Medicago truncatula strain A17 chromosome 2, whole genome shotgun sequence.